rnacentral:tRNA from 1 species
GCGCCGGUAGCUCAGCUUGGAGAAGCUAGCGAGCAGUGAAAUGCGAGGUUCGGUGAGAUAAGCGAGCGAAAGCAAGCUUUCGCAUUCGACUGAAACUCGCUCACUAUCUGCCUGCUACGCUUCGUGCAAAUAGAGCGAAAGGUUCCUAACCUUUAGGCCGGGGGCAUGAUUGAGUGAAUGCUCUUUCAUCCCGAAUUCGAAUCCUCCCCGGCGCG